CAUCCUAAGGCUGGCGAUUCAACAACGGGGGAACUGCUCUCAGGCCUUGUACCUUCUCAGGGCUCAUUGCUUGAAAUUCCCAAGCUACUCGAGAAUCCCAUGAACACUGUAGAGGAGUUGGAGUCAUUCGACGCACAACUGACGCCAGAGCGGGAGAAACAGGUAACAUUGGAGCUAUCUAUCCUCGGCGGCAGUUCAGCAAAGGUAGCCACCAGAAGAAUUCUGGCUUACAUCAUGAGCAACGAGCUUAGAUCCCAAUAUAGUUGGGAGGGGAGAAAGGGGAAAUACCCCUUUAAAGACCUGAGCCUAGCAAAAGUCAUCCUGCGAACAAUACACACUCAUAAAUAAUUUGCAAAGGCAACACGAUUUGACAUCGAGCACGAGGUGAACAAGUGGCUGCGUCACGCCAGGGAGAGGUCCGAAAGAUCGAAACAAUAAAUCAGGUUAAUAUGAAG